rnacentral:rRNA from 1 species
AAUAGCUACUUGCAUCAUUGUAAAUAUGAUGCAAGAUCGACUAUGUCGAAUAAAAUUCUAGGUAGAAUUAUGAUAAUGACAUUGUCUGCCUAUGUGUCUUGACCAAAUUACGUGCCAGCAGUCGCGGUAAUACGUAGAAGACUAGUGUUAUUCAUGUUUAAUCGGUUUAAAGGGUACCUAGACGGUAAAUCAAGCCUAAAAGGAAAUAAAUGAAGGGACUAAUUUACUAGAGUUACUUAUGAGGGGGUAUUAAAGUACUGCUGGUGUAGAGAUGAAAUUCUGUCAUACCUCUUUUCAAUAGAAAAAUAAUGGCACAGGUAUAGGCGAAAGCAUCCCCUUAUGUGAUAACUGACGUUGAGGGACGAAGGCUUUGUGUAGCGAACAGGAUUAGAUACCCCAGUAGUCAAAGCAGAAAAUGAUGAAUGUCAUAGAUUAGAUAUAUAAGUUUAUUCUAUAAAUGAAAGUGUAAGCAUUCCACCUCAAGAGUAAUUUGGCAACAUUGGAACUGAAAUCAUUAGACCGUUUCUGAAACCAGUAGUGAAGUAUGUUGUUUAAUUUGAUGAUCCGCAAAAAACCUUACCACAAUUUGAAUAUUUAUAUCUUUUAUUGUUUUUCUUUUUAACUUUUUCUAAUUUUCUACUUAAAAGAAAAAAAAUAACAAGAAAAAAGAGACAAUAA